rnacentral:tmRNA from 1 species
GGGGGCGUACCGGUUUCGACGGGGAUGCCGAUACAUGGGCAGCGGGCAGCGGGGCGGGCCGCUAUAAAAACUGCACCUUAUAAAUUAAGUAACAAUACUGAACUUGUUGCUGCGUAACUAACGCGGCCGUCCACCCCGGGAGGACCACGGCCCGGGACCUGGGCGUGACUGAGUGGUGCCCGUGCGUGCGCUAAGCUUUGCGCGCACCACGCAUAAUGAAGCUACCAAACCCGCAAGCCUGACGACCGGCGUGCGGCAGAGGGAAUCCUAAAAGAUCGUCUGCGCCCGGAGAAGCCCAUGGGGACGUGUUUUCGGACAGGGGUUCAACUCCCCUCGCCUCCACCA